AGAUCGUGGAGAUGGCGCACAAGAGGGAGAGUACACAGCCACUUGCCUUUUCUGUCCCUAGAUAUGGGAUGGUUCAGAGCUUCAGGGGACAAGUGCGCCCUUUAUUGGAAAUAAACCAAGGAGGCAUCUUAUCUCCUGAUGACCCUUGUUUGUACCUGGAGCCCUGCUGUUGCCCUUCGCUUGCUUCUUCUCCACAGACUGCAGCUAUCACUGCAGUCUCCGGUCCUUUACGGUAAAAUGUUCCUCAAAGAAUUGGCAUGUGCUCACUUCGGCGGCAUACACACUGAAGUUGGAGUGCUACGAUGGCAUAAGAAUCAGUAAGACGCAUCAGAUUUUUCAUCCUCACCAUCCAGUGUUAGAGUCAAAGCCACUCCUGCCAUUAUCCCUUCCCUAGCAUGAUAAUACAAUCAAACCAAAGAACAAGUUCCCAGUUCUCCAGGCAGGCUCUUAACUCACACCACAAAGCUGCUCUUACCAAAGUUUCCAGGGACCUCUGUGCGGCUGAACCCUCUCAAAUUGCGUUUUAUCGGCUUCUUGGGAACACCUAACGGUUGACACUCUCUGCUGGGACUCUCGAGGCUCCCCAUCACCUCCAUUGCUCUGCUCUUCCUUUGGCUCUGCAGGCUACCCUCACCCCUGUCUCCUUUGUCUCAAUCUCCCACCUCCCUGGCCUAAAAGUAGGGGCUGGGCUGUCCUUGGAUCUCUCUUUUCUCAAUACUCUUUUUUUUUUUUUUUUUUUUUUUUUUUUUUUUUUUUUUGGUUUUUGGAGACAGGGUUUCUCUGUGUAGCCCUGGCUGUCCUGGAACUCACUCUGUAGACCAGCUGGCCUCGAACUCAGAAACCCUAAUCCUAACCCUAACCCUAACCCUGCUUCCCAAUGCUGGGAUUAAAGGUGUGCACCACCAUUGCCCAGCUCUCUCAAUACUUUUAAUAUAUUGGCUGAUGAAUGGACUUGGAUUUUUUAAGACAGGGUCUCUCUUUGUAGCUCUAACAGCCCUGUAACUCUCUACAUAAACUAGGCUGGACUUGAACUCACAGAGAUCUUCCGUCUCUGUCUUUUGAGUGCUGAGAUCAUUCUGGAGACAAGGUCUUGCUAUGUUGCCAGACUGGCUUUGAAACUUUAGUCCUGAAUCAGGUUCCAGAGUGUUGGGAUUACAAGUGAUCAAGCAUCCAUGUGCCAGCUCAUUCUUGCUGACCUUAAAUACCAUUUGAAAGUUCCCCAAAGUUAUAUCUCAAAUCUAGACCUCUCCAGAAUUCCAGAUUUACUGUAUCUUCUGCCUACAUCCCAUCUUUACUGGGAUACAUUGCAAGCACUUCAAAUGUAACAUAUUGACUGGGGGUGUAGCUCAGUAAUAGAGCACUUGCCUGUUACAGGCAAGACCUCAGGUUCCACCCACAGCCCCUCCCCAAAAGCCAAAACAUCCAAAGCUCUUUGUUCCCUUCUUACUUUCCUCUUCCCACUCCUCCUCCUCCUCCUCCUCCUUCCUCCUCCUUCCUCUUCCUCCUCCUCCUCCCUCCUCCUUCCUCCUCCUUUUUCUACUACUAUGGGAUAUCUGAUCUUCGGGUCACUCAAGCCCAAAUCUUUGGAGUUAUCCUUGGCUCCUACCUCUUAAAUCCCAGUCAGUUGUCUCCUCAAAAUAAAAUCUGGCUACUUCUCA
rnacentral:lncRNA from 1 species